rnacentral:rRNA from 1 species
GAUGAACGCUGGCGGCGUGCCUAAUACAUGCAAGUCGAGCGAACGGACGAGAAGCUUGCUUCUCUGAUGUUAGCGGCGGACGGGUGAGUAACACGUGGAUAACCUACCUAUAAGACUGGGAUAACUUCGGGAAACCGGAGCUAAUACCGGAUGAUAUUUUGAACCGCAUGGUUCAAAAGUGAAAGACGGUCUUGCUGUCACUUAUAGAUGGAUCCGCGCUGCAUUAGCUAGUUGGUAAGGUAACGGCUUACCAAGGCAACGAUGCAUAGCCGACCUGAGAGGGUGAUCGGCCACACUGGAACUGAGACACGGUCCAGACUCCUACGGGAGGCAGCAGUAGGGAAUCUUCCGCAAUGGGCGAAAGCCUGACGGAGCAACGCCGCGUGAGUGAUGAAGGUCUUCGGAUCGUAAAACUCUGUUAUUAGGGAAGAACAUAUGUGUAAGUAACUGUGCACAUCUUGACGGUACCUACUCAGAAAGCCACGGCUAACUACGUG